AUGGUGCUGGAGGGCUACUCAAAGGAGCUCCCUGGCGCCCCGAGCGGCCACUUCUUCCGCUCUGUGGCCAGCAGCUCUUCCGACGGACAAGGGAAAUUGGGUGCAGGAGAAAGUCCUGCGAAGGAGGCAGGGAUCCCACCCCUUCAAGGCCUGGAGAAGUGCUUGAAAGAGAUCCCGCUGGGUGGGGUUUCUUGCCCAAACGCCGUUCUUACGGGAAGUGACUUCUCUGCCCAGAAGCCCAGGAGGAUGGAGGCGUCUUUGCAGAGGCUGUGGGACAGAGGCGGCGCCACAAACAGCAUCCUGCCACGUCCCACGAGCUCCUCUGGCUCCGUGGCAGCGGAGGCCGCGGUGGAAGCUUCUCCCCUCGACCGACUGAUGAGUUGCCUGAAGGAGAUCCCCAUUCAGAGGCCGAGUUACCUGAACACGCCCAGCGUCUCCUCGUCCGCCUCCAGCUGCAGCGAGAGCGAGCGCCAGAGCCCCGGGUGCAGCCUCUGGUGGGACUGCGCUCAAGACACAGGAUCGGAGAUGGAAGGGACUUUGCGGCAGAAGGGGAUGGAGUCCAGGCUGCAGAGCGCGUUGCUUGCUCCCGAGGAGGAAAGGGGGCUUCCUUCUGCCCGAGAACCAGAGCUUGUCACCAUGGGCAGCCGAGCGCCAUCGGCCUCCCCUCUCGGUGGCCUGGAGAGAUGCUUAGACAGCAUCGCCAUGAGCCAGCCUCUCCCCUCCAACAUCCCACCUGGUGAUGCCAAGAGUCCGGGCGAUGUGGUACCCAGGAGAUCCCGGCAAGGGGUGGUUGGAUCACAUCCCACAAAUCCUCCAGCAGAUGACAACCUCUCCCACGACCCACAGAUUGGUCCGAAAGAUCCAGCGGCAGCCAGUACCCCGAGUCCUCCCAGCACACCAGCCCAGGACUCCUUCGGUGGAACGCCUGAGAGGAACGUGGAAGGCCGUGUUCAGCAUCCCCAGGCGGAAGCUGCGAGGAAACGGACACCGAGCAGCUCCUGCCUCCAAGGCCUGGCGAAUCUCCUGGCUGAAAGGCCCGCCAACCCUCCUUGUCGCUUCCAUCCGCUCCCCAGCAAGGCCCAGGGCAGCUCGGAGCAAAGGGAAGCGCAGGCGAGCGUCUCUUCGGCCGAGGAAGAAGGGGCGAGUGAGAGCAGCCCUCUCCAGGGCCUGCUCAGGUGCCUGAAGGAGAUCACUGCUCGGGGCCCCAGUCCCUGCAGCCCGUCGUCCAGCAAUUCCCUGGCCAGAAGCACGCGGGGAGAACCGAGGUGCAGACGUGCCAAGGGAGAGGAGGCGGAGGCCAGGAGGGCAGCCCAGGAAGAGCUUCCAACAGGUCAGAGGAGCCGCCUGAAGGAAAGGUCGAUGGGCAGCGACGGCCCGGCCACCACGCCCUUGAGCAGUCCACAGAGAGUGGCUGGGCACAGGAGCCCGACCCCCGAGGCUGGCAGGGGGCACCAAGGAUCCGCCCCCUCAAGCGCUCUGGCCUGGGGCAGCUGCCCCAAGCGGAACGGGCGGCAUUUCUGCCUCUCCAAGUUCGGUGCUCAGAGGCCGAGCAAUUCCAGCUCCCCCAAGAGUGGGGUGAAAAGGUCGCUGGGGGCAGCACAGGGAGGUGAGGACCAAACUCCGGGCACCUCGUCCCACAGCUGCAAACUGCAAGGCGAUGCCGAGUCAGGAAAUCUGUGCAAGAAAAGGUGUCUCAGUGUCGACCCGAAUCCGGUCCUCUGCACCUGGGGGAACGGGAAUCCUCAGGAACGCCGCCCUGAGGUUGAAGACGGCAUAGGUCCGGCGCUGUCGAAGAAGCUGGACCGCCUUUCUGCGGACAUGAGCGCCGUCUGCCGGGACGUCUCCCGCCUGCAGAGCCACGUGGACCGCUUGGAGCAGGAUGCCCGGGGCUGGGUCCUGGAGCUGGCGGCGCUGCGCAUGGAGAACCACAGCCUGAGCGAGUGCGUGCGGCGCAUGGAGGGGCGCUUCCGCGCUCUGGAGAACCGCUCCCGCCGCAACAACCUGCGCGUCCUCGGCCUGCCGGAGGGGAGCGAAGGCAGUGACCCGGUCGCCUUCUUGCAGAAGACUCUGCCCACCCUGCUGGGCCUGCCCCUGGAAGCCCCGCCCCUGGAGAUCGAGAGCGCCCGCCGGGUGCAAGGGGGCGCCUCCUGGGACCCCAGCGGCAGGCCCCGGCCCCUGGUGCUCCAGCUCCUGCGCUCAGGAGACAGGGCGGCCAUUUUGCAGGCGGCCCGCGGGAGGCCCCUCAGCUACUCCGGCGCGCAGAUCACCAUCUUGCCGGACUUCUGCUCCUCGCUUUCACAACGCAGGAGGGUUCCCUUUGGGACGUUCCGGAGGACCCGGUGGGCGGCGGACCUCUGCUUUGGCUCCCGGCACCCCUCCUGCUGCUAUGCCUGGGCACCGGGCCUACGGGAGCCUCUGGCUGGCUCGGGGGCCCUGAGGGGCGAGAGAGAAAGCCGGCUUCCCAGAGGGGUGGGGAACUGGGGCACGGAAACCUUACCCGGCCCGGGGCAUCGUGGGGGGUGCCACUCCACAGGGAGCUGCGAGCAGCACAAUGACAACCCCUGACACGGUUCUUGGCAGAGGGUGGCAGCGGUUGGCUUGCUCCUCUUGCUCUUUGCCCUGGGCGGGGCCUGUCCUCAGGCGGCGGACGCUGCAGGGGCAGGCGGCAAACUAUUGGUGGCCGUGCAUCUUGCCCUUCACCCCUCCAGCUGGUCAGGCUCGGCUGCCAGCCCAGUUGGCUGCUGUGGGCGCCAUUUUGCUUCCGGGGUCCUUCCCCACAUUCCUGCCCCUGCUUCUUCGUCAUUUCUCUGGAGCUGCUUGGCAAAAUCUUUUGGAUGCCAUUUGAGCUUAGGUCCUCCGUCUUGAGGGUGCCCCGUCGUCGUUUCUCAGGCUGAGAAUGCCCCCCCUUAAAUGCACCAUCCAUCCAAGUUACAACAGCCCAGAGACUGGGGUUUGGGGGGGCACCCCCUUGCCGUGGGGGCCAAGCUCUCUUCCUCUUAAGGCUCAGUGAAGCCCUUUCUUUGUGUUUAUAUUCAGGCCUCGGCUGGCUGGCGACAAUUCAGGGUCAACGUGUGUUUUUAAAACGUGUUGCUUUUAUAUUUUUCAAAGAAUCAAUAUUUUAUAUGGGUAUUUUGCUUCUAGGUGUGGCUGUUAACAUGCCCGCCCAGAGCCUUUGUGGAGAGGGGUGGCUAUAAAUAUGAAUAUUAAAGAAAUGAACUUGAAUAAUAAAGAAAUGAAGUUGGGGAAAUAUCUGUGCCUCUUGGAAGGGUUAUUUUCGAGGGCGUGUGCAGCUUCUGGGCAGCUCGUAGGUGUUUGUUUGAUUGUUGAAAUAUUUUAUUUAUUUUCAUCAUUAAAAAAUUUACAUGCAAACAGUUUGUGUAACCAUUUUGUGAGAUUCUCUGAAUGAAAAUUGUGGAGAAUGUCCUGAUACGUAGUUUUAAGUUCUGUUUUAAGGAGCCAGUUAGAGGAUGGGGGGCAGUCACGAGGUUCAUAGGUGUUUUGGGUCAGGUGUGGGGAACCUUUGGCCCUCCAGAUGUUUCUGAACUACAACUCCCAUCAGGCCUGGCAAGUGGGGAUAAUGGGAGCUGUAGUUCAGCAACAUCUGGAGGGCCAAAGAUUCCCCCCACAGAGAACUUCUCUUCCUGGGCGUUCCACUUGAUUUCAGCUGAGAACUAAUUCCAGGGGACUGAAGCAGCAACACUAGAAGCCCGAUUUCUAGUAGCACCAUAGAAUUUUAGAGUUGGAAGGGACCUCAAGGGUCAUCUAUCCCAACCCCUGCAAUGCAGGAACCCCACCUAAACGAAGGGCAUGAGCUGCCCUCAGCUGCGCCCUCUCCGAGCAGCGCAGUUGAUGGGCACCGAUAGAGGAAAUGAGCAGUGACUCCGGUAGAGGCGUCAACCUUUUCGCCUGAUUCUUCCGCCUCAAACCUCAGCUUCCUAUUACAGCAGGCCAAACCAAAAGACAAUAAAAAACCCCUCACAUGGGACAGAGUUGCUCCCCGAUCCCCAACCCUGGAAUUCUGACAGCCCCCUUUGCUUACUGAAUCUCUGCAUCCUGUCUGAAGUUUGUUAAAAGUGCAGGACGAUUGCCAAGGAAAAUGUGUUGGCAGCCAGUCCCGGGAUCUUCUCCGCAGGCACCCAGUUCCCCCAAGUGGAACUAAAGUGGUUUUCUGCUGGUCUUCAGCCUCAAGUGCCGUGAAGUAAUAGGAGCAGACACAGACCCCCCUCUCUGCCUGUUGUGCCAGGCAAUUUCCUGGCUUGGAUACAUCAUUGGAGAGGCGUUUUGGACACCCUUGUGUUCCCCUGAAGCAGUCCUGCAAACCGGAGAUCACCUCCAUGGUGCUGUUUGUGGGGGGAAACGGAACCCCAGAAUUUCCAGCUCCACCAGGCAAAGAUCACCCCAACAGAUGAUUGGGCUACGCCAUCUUGAUGGAUACAAAUGACAAGAGUUCUUCAGAAAAACCUUACUGCUUCAUCUUAGGCCACAUUCACACCAUAUGUUUAAAGUUCUAGGAUACACCUUUAAACGGUCAUAAGAGCAUAAGGAUCAGGGCUGCAAGAACACCCAAAAAAAAAAAGAAUGGCAAGGCAAAUUAUUUAGUUAUAUUGAAUUGGCUGAAUUGACAGAGUCUAUUGGGGGUCAGCCCAAGCAAAAAUUCUAAAAAGAAUGGGGAAAAUAUAGCGAAUACCUUAAAAAGCAGUGCCCUCAAAUUAAUACUUGGACUUGUUUCGAUUAACUUCUGCAAAACAAUUAUGGCGUAAAAGUUAAAAACAUAAGAAAGGGGUAAGAAAGAAAAUGGAAAUGGUUUACCAAAAAUACAAAUAGAACCGUGCUGAGGAUGAAGGAAAUCAAUUGGAAGAAAGAAGAACUGAAAUGUGGUAUAUACAUAUUGUUUAUUAUUCGUUUUGUAUAAGUUUCUGUAUAUUACUUUGAUAAUUGUUUUUUCAUUUUCAGUUUUUUGUUUUUCUUUAUUUGUUUUUUAUUAUUUUUAUGUUUAGUUGCAUGAGUGUGUGCGUUUGUGUUGUAAAAUAAAAUUUAAUAAAAAAUU
rnacentral:lncRNA from 1 species